UAAUACGGAGGGUGCAAGCGUUAUCCGGAUUCACUGGGUUUAAAGGGUGUGUAGGCGGGCACUUAAGUCAGUGGUGAAAUCUCCAGGCUCAACCUGGAAACUGCCAUUGAUACUAUUUGUCUUGAAUAUUGUUGAGGUAGGCGGAAUAUGUCAUGUAGCGGUGAAAUGCUUAGAUAUGACAUAGAACACCAAUUGCGAAGGCAGCUUACUAAGCAAAGAUUGACGCUGAGGCACGAAAGCGUGGGGAUCAAACAGG
rnacentral:rRNA from 1 species